UGCCAGCAGCCCGCGGUAAUACGUAGGGUGCAAGCGUUAAUCGGAAUUACUGGGCGUAAAGCAGUGCGCAGGUGGUUUUGUAAGACCGACGUGAAAUCCCCGGGCUCAACCUGGGAAUGGCGUUGGUGACUGCAAGACUUGAGUGUGGCAGAGGGGGGUGGAAUUCCACGUGUAGCAGUGAAAUGCGUAGAGAUGUGGAGGAACACCGAUGGCGAAGGCAGCCCCCUGGGCUAACACUGACACUCAUGCACCGAAAGCGUGGGGAGCAAACAGGAUUAAAUACCCUGGUAGUCC
rnacentral:rRNA from 1 species